rnacentral:rRNA from 1 species
GACGAACGCUGGCGGCGUGCUUAACACAUGCAAGUCGAACGGAGAUGCUCCAGCUUGCUGGAGCGGACCAGUGGCGAACGGGUGAGUAACACGCGAGCAACCCCCCCCAGACAGUGGGAUAAGCCCUGGAAACGGCGGCUAUUACUGGAUACGAAACUGGCCCGCACGGGCUUGAUUUGUAAAGUUCUUCGGUUUGGGAUGGUCUCGCGGCCUAUCAGCUUGUUGGUGAGGUAGUGGCUCACCAAGGCGACGACGGGUAGCCGGCCUGAGAGGUCGACCGGCCACCCUGGGACUGAGAGACGGCCCAGACGCCUACGGGAGGCAACAGUGGGGAAUAUUGCAGAGUGGCGGAACGCCUGAUACAGCGAUGCCGCGUGCGGGAUAACGGCCUACGGGUUGUAAACCUCUUUCAGAGGGGAUGAGGCGAUCGUGACGGUACCUGCAGAAGAAGCACCGGCUAACUACGUG